UACGUAGGGUGCAAGCGUUUAAUCGGAAUUACUGGGCGUAAAGCGUGCGCAGGCGGUUGUGUAAGACAGAUGUGAAAUCCCCGGCUCAACCUGGGAACUGCAUUUGUGACUGCACGGCUGGAGUGCGGCAGAGGGGGAUGGAAUUCCGCGUGUAGCAGUGAAAUGCGUAGAUAUGCGGAGGAACACCGAUGGCGAAGGCAAUCCCCUGGGCCUGCACUGACGCUCAUGCACGAAAGCGUGGGGAGCAAACAGG
rnacentral:rRNA from 1 species